rnacentral:sRNA from 1 species
AGGAGGCUUUAUGUGAGAGUACUUAGAGCAGGAUGCUGUGGAAAGUGGUUUCUCCAUAUGGGUCAUCUAGGUAACUUUAAGAAUGUUUCCUCCUCUCUUGUUUGAAUUAUUUCAUUCUUUUUCUCAGUUAGUGAUUGGCAACUUUGGCCUCAGCUGGAAUCAGCAAGUAACUCAGAUGGCCCUCUGGGCUAUCAUGGCUGCUCCUUUAUUCAUGUCUAAUGACCUCCGACACAUCAGCCCUCAAGCCAAAGCUCUCCUUCAGGAUAAGGACGUAAUUGCCAUCAAUCAGGACCCCUUGGGCAAGCAAGGGUACCAGCUUAGACAGGCAGACAACUUUGAAGUGUGGGAACGACCUCUCUCAGGCUUAGCCUGGGCUGUAGCUAUGAUAAACCGGCAGGAGAUUGGUGGACCUCGCUCUUAUACCAUCGCACUUGCUUCCCUGGGUAAAGGAGUGGCCUGUAAUCCUGCCUGCUUCAUCACACAGCUCCUCCCUGUGAAAAGGAAGCUAGGGUUCUAUGAAUGGACUUCAAGGUUAAGAAGUCACAUAAAUCCCACAGGCACUGUUUUGCUUCAGCUAGAAAAUACAAUGCAGAUGUCAUUAAAAGACUUACUUUAAAA